GACGAACGCUGGCGGCGUGCCUAAUACAUGCAAGUGGGACGCAAGGAAACACACUGUGCUUGCACUCCGUGUUUUCUUGAGUCGCGAACGGGUGAGUAACGCGUAGGUAACCUGCCUAUUAGCGGGGGAUAACUAUUGGAAACGAUAGCUAAUACCGCAUAAUAUUAAUUAUUGCAUGAUAAUUGAUUGAAAGAUGCAAGCGCAUCACUAGUAGAUGGACCUGCGUUGUAUUAGCUAGUUGGUAAGGUAAGAGCUUACCAAGGCGACGAUACAUAGCCGACCUGAGAGGGUGAUCGGCCACACUGGGACUGAGACACGGCCCAGACUCCUACGGGAGGCAGCAGUAGGGAAUCUUCGGCAAUGGACGAAAGUCUGACCGAGCAACGCCGCGUGAGUGAAGAAGGUUUUCGGAUCGUAAAGCUCUGUUGUAAGUCAAGAACGUGUGUGAGAGUGGAAAGUUCACACAGUGACGGUAGCUUACCAGAAAGGGACGGCUAACUACGUG
rnacentral:rRNA from 1 species